UAAGAUAGUUUUUAACUAAUUAUGGCUUCUAACUAUAUCAAGAGAGGUUAAAAUCCUUUCUAUCUUAA
rnacentral:tRNA from 1 species